rnacentral:snRNA from 1 species
GAAACCCUCAGUUUCCAUAUGUGUCUCCGGAAGCUUCGCGCUUAGUCGAAGAAGACGACUUUCCUAGAUAGAGGAGGACCAUUCUCUGGUCAAGGGUAUAAGAGUAGCUGGACUCCCAAGCUAGAACCUCCAAACGAGCUCUCAACUGUUAUUCUGAGGUAAUUUUUUUGCAUGGUACGAUAUGGUCCAGGGCACCUGGGUGUCACGGUUG